GGGCGCAAGCCUGAUCCAGCAAUUCCGCGUGAANGAAGAAGGCCUUCGGGUUGUAAAGUUNUUUUGUCNGGGAAGAAANGGUNUUUUNUAAUACAGNGCGCUAAUGACGGUACCNGAAGAAUAAGCACCGGCUAACUACGUGCCAGCAGCCGCGGUAAUACGUAGGGUGCAAGCGUUAAUCGGAAUUACUGGGCGUAAAGCGUGCGCAGGCGGUUNNNUAAGACNGAUGUGAAAUCCCCGGGCUCAACCUGGGAAUUGCAUUUGUGACUGNNNNGCUAGAGUGUGUCAGAGGGGGGUAGAAUUCCACGUGUAGCAGUGAAAUGCGUAGAUAUGUGGAGGAAUACCGAUGGCGAAGGCAGCCCCCUGGGAUAACACUGACGCUCAUGCACGAAAGCGUGGGGAGCAAACAGGAUUAGAUACCCUGGUAGUCCACGCCCUAAACGAUGUCNACUAGUUGUNGGGUCUUAANUGACUCAGUAACG
rnacentral:rRNA from 1 species